rnacentral:rRNA from 1 species
GACAGAGGGGGCAAGCGUUGUUCGGAUUUACUGGGCGUAAAGGGCGCGUAGGCGGCGCGGUAAGUCGGGUGUGAAACCUCCAGGCUCAACCUGGAGACGCCACCCGAUACUGCUGUGACUAGAGUCCGGUAGGGGAGCGUGGAAUUCCUGGUGUAGCGGUGAAAUGCGUAGAGAUCGGCAGGAACACCCAGGGGGAAACCAGUCGACUGGGCAUCUACUGACGCUGAGGUGCGAGAGCGUGGGGAGCGAACCGG